rnacentral:rRNA from 1 species
GGGGUGCGGCAGCUACCAUGCAGUCGAGCGGUAGCACAGAGAGCUUGCUCUCGGGUGACGAGCGGCGGACGGGUGAGUAAUGUCUGGGAAACUGCCUGAUGGAGGGGGAUAACUACUGGAAACGGUAGCUAAUACCGCAUAACGUCGCAAGACCAAAGUGGGGGACCUUCGGGCCUCAUGCCAUCAGAUGUGCCCAGAUGGGAUUAGCUAGUAGGUGGGGUAACGGCUCACCUAGGCGACGAUCCCUAGCUGGUCUGAGAGGAUGACCAGCCACACUGGAACUGAGACACGGUCCAGACUCCUACGGGAGGCAGCAGUGGGGAAUAUUGCACAAUGGGCGCAAGCCUGAUGCAGCCAUGCCGCGUGUGUGAAGAAGGCCUUCGGGUUGUAAAGCACUUUCAGCGGGGAGGAAGGCGAUAAGGUUAAUAACCUUGUCGAUUGACGUUACCCGCAGAAGAAGCACCGGCUAACUCCGUGCCAGCAGCCGCGGUAAUACGGAGGGUGCAAGCGUUAAUCGGAAUUACUGGGCGUAAAGCGCACGCAGGCGGUCUGUCAAGUCGGAUGUGAAAUCCCCGGGCUCAACCUGGGAACUGCAUUCGAAACUGGCAGGCUAGAGUCUUGUAGAGGGGGGUAGAAUUCCAGGUGUAGCGGUGAAAUGCGUAGAGAUCUGGAGGAAUACCGGUGGCGAAGGCGGCCCCCUGGACAAAGACUGACGCUCAGGUGCGAAAGCGUGGGGAGCAAACAGGAUUAGAUACCCUGGUAGUCCACGCCGUAAACGAUGUCGAUUUGGAGGUUGUGCCCUUGAGGCGUGGCUUCCGGAGCUAACGCGUUAAAUCGACCGCCUGGGGAGUACGGCCGCAAGGUUAAAACUCAAAUGAAUUGACGGGGGCCCGCACAAGCGGUGGAGCAUGUGGUUUAAUUCGAUGCAACGCGAAGAACCUUACCUGGUCUUGACAUCCACAGAACUUUCCAGAGAUGGAUUGGUGCCUUCGGGAACUGUGAGAACAGUGCUGCAUGCUGUCGUCAGCUCGUGUGUGAAAUGUGGGUAGUCCGCAACGAGCGCAACCCUUAUCCUUUGUUGCCAGCGGUUCGGCCGGG